rnacentral:rRNA from 1 species
UACAGAGGGUGCGAGCGUUGUUCGGAAUUAUUGGGCGUAAAGGGCGCGUAGGCGGUGCGGUAAGUCACCUGUGAAAUCUCCUGGCUCAACUGGGAGCUUGCAGGCGAAACUGCCGUGCUGGAGUGUGGGAGAGGUGAGUGGAAUUCCCGGUGUAGCGGUGAAAUGCGUAGAUAUCAGGAGGAACACCGGUGGCGAAGGCGGAUCUCUGGGCCGUAACUGACGCUGAGGGAAGCGGAAAGCAUGGGAGCGAACAGG